AAUACUCCCUGGUGACCGAUAGCGGACUAGUACCGUGAGGGAAAGGUGAAAAGUACCCCGGGAGGGGAGUGAAAUAGUACCUGAAACCGUGCGCUUACAAUCCGUCGGAGCCUGCGCGACCUUUGGUGGUCGGUGGGUGACGGCGUGCCUUUUGAAGAAUGAGCCUGCGAGUUAGUGGCAUGUCGCGAGGUUAACCCGUGUGGGGUAGUCGUAGCGAAAGCGAGUCCGAACAGGGCGUUGCAGUGGCAUGUUCUAGACCCGAAGCGGAGUGAUCUACCCAUGGCCAGGGUGAAGCGACGGUAAGACGUCGUGGAGGCCCGAACCCACUUAGGUUGAAAACUGAGGGGAUGAGCUGUGGGUAGGGGUGAAAGGCCAAUCAAACUCCGUGAUAGCUGGUUCUCCCCGAAAUGCAUUUAGGUGCAGCGUCGCGUGUUUCUCACCGGAGGUAGAGCUACUGGAUGGUCUAGGGGGCCCACAAGCUUACCGAAAUCAGCCAAACUCCGAAUGCCGGUGAGUGAGAGCGCGGCAGUGAGACUGCGGGGGAUAAGCUUCGUAGUCGAGAGGGAAACAGCCCAGAUCGCCGGCUAAGGCCCCUAAGCGUGUACUAAGUGGAAAAGGAUGUGGGAUCGCUGAGACAACCAGGAGGUUGGCUUAGAAGCAGCCACCCUUGAAAGAGUGCGUAAUAGCUCACUGGUCAAGUGGUUCUGCGCCGACAAUGUAGCGGGGCUCAAGUACACCGCCGAAGCCGCGGCACUCACACAACACCCCGGAGGGUUUACGGACCGUCCGGCAGUGGUGUGGGUGGGUAGGGGAGCGUCGUGCCGCCGGGGAAGCGCCGGAGUGAUCCAGGUGUGGAGGCGGCGCGAGUGAGAAUGCAGGCAUGAGUAGCGAAAGACGAGUGAGAAACUCGUCCGCCGAAUGACGAAGGGUUCCUGGGCCAGGUUAAUCCGCCCAGGGGGAGUCGGGACCUAAGGCGAGGCCGACAGGCGUAGUCGAUGGACAACGGGUUGAUAUUCCCGUACCCGUGUGAACGCGCCCCUGGUGAAUCAUCGGUACUAACCGUCCAAAGGGUGAUCGAUCUCCUUCGGGAGACGGGAUCCUGCUGCACGGGACCUUCGGUGGUAGUAGCCAAGCGAUGGGGUGACGCAGGAAGGUAGUGGGGCCGGUCAGUGGUUGUACCGGUGUAAGCCUGUAGGGCGUGACAUAGGCAAAUCCGUGUCGCACGAAGCCUGAGAGGUGAUGCGUAGCCGAAUGAGGCGAAUUCCAUGAUCCUAUGCUGCCGAGAAAAGCCUCUAGCGAGCUUUCACACGGCCCGUACCCCAAACCGACACAGGUGGUCAGGUAGAGAAUACCGAGGCGAUCGAGAGAACUGUGGUUAAGGAACUCGGCAAAAUGCCCCCGUAACUUCGGGAGAAGGGGGACCACGCCCGGUGAAGACCUUCGCGGUCGGAGCUGGGGGUGGUCGCAGAGACCAGAGAGAAGCGACUGUUUACUAAAAACACAGGUCCGUGCGAAGUCGUAAGACGAGGUAUACGGACUGACGCCUGCCCGGUGCUGGAAGGUUAAGAGGACCGGUCAGCGGAGUUCACUCCGCGAAGCUGAGAAUUUAAGCCCCAGUAAACGGCGGUGGUAACUAUAACCAUCCUAAGGUAGCGAAAUUCC
rnacentral:rRNA from 1 species